rnacentral:rRNA from 1 species
AUGGUAGGAUAGAGGCCUACCAUGGUGGUAACGGGUAACGGGGUGUUAGGGCACGACACCGGAGAGGGAGCCUGAGAAACGGCUACCACAUCCAAGGAUGGCAGCAGGCGCGCAAAUUACCCAAUCCCGACAUGGGGAGGUAGUGACAAUAAAUAACAAUACGGGGUUCUUUCGGAUCUCGUAAUUGGAAUGAGUACAAUUUAAAUCUCUUAACGAGGAACAAUUGGAGGGCAAGUCUGGUGCCAGCAGCCGCGGUAAUUCCAGCUCCAAUAGCGUAUAUUAAAGUUGUUGCAGUUAAAAAGCUCGUAGUUGAAUUUCGGGGUCAGCAGGUCGGUCGUGCCAAUGGUAUGUACUGGUCUUGCUGAUUCCUCCCUCUUGACGAACCGUAAUGCCAUUAAUUUGGUGUUGCGGGAAAUCAGGACUGUUACUUUGAAAAAAUUAGAGUGUUUAAAGCAGGCUUAAGCUUGAAUACAUUAGCAUGGAAUAAUGAAAUAGGACGUUCGAUCCUAUUUUGUUGGUUUCUAGGAUUGACGUAAUGAUUAAUAGGGAUAGUUGGGGGCAUUAGUAUUCAAUUGUCAGAGGUGAAAUUCUUGGAUUUAUUGAAGACUAACUACUGCGAAAGCAUUUGCCAAGGAUGUUUUCAUUAAUCAAGAACGAAAGUUAGGGGAUCGAAGACGAUCAGAUACCGUCGUAGUCUUAACCAUAAACUAUGCCGACUAGGGAUCGGAUGAUGUUAAUUUUUUAAUGACUCAUUCGGCGCCUUACGGGAAACCAAAGUGUUUGGGUUC